UACGGGGGGAGCAAGCGUUGUUCGGAUUUACUGGGCGUAAAGGGCGCGUAGGCGGCCACCGCAAGUCGGUUGUGAAAUCUCUGGGCUUAACCCAGAAAGGUCAAUCGAUACUGCGGGGCUAGAGUGCAGAAGGGGCAAUCGGAAUUCUCGGUGUAGCGGUGAAAUGCGUAGAUAUCGAGAGGAACACCUGAGGUGAAGACGGGUUGCUGGGCCGACACGUGACGCUGACAGCGCGAAAGCGUGGGGAGCGAACAGG
rnacentral:rRNA from 1 species